UUCGUAGGCGGUGUGGCAAGUUGGGAGUGAAAUCUCUGGGCUCAACCCAGAGGCUGCUUACCAAAACUGCUGUGCUUGAGUGUGAGAGAGGCUCGUGGAAUUGCAGGUGUAGCGGUGAAAUGCGUAGAUAUCUGCAGGAACACCCGUGGCGAAAGCGGCGAGCUGGAUCACUACUGACGCUGAGGAACGAAAGCUAGGGGAGCAAACAGGAUUAGAUACCCUGGUAGUCCUAGCCCUAAACGAUCAGGACUUGGGGUGCCGCCCGUUCGGGCGUCGUCCCGGAGCUAACGCGUUAAGUCCUGCACCUGGGGAGUACGGUCGCAGACUGAA
rnacentral:rRNA from 1 species